UACGAAGGGUGCAAACGUUGCUCGGAAUUAUUGGGCGUAAAGCGCACGUAGGCGGCUUUGCAAGUCGGAUGUGAAAUCCCUCGGCUUAACCAAGGAAGUGCAUCCGAAACUGCAGAGCUUGAGUACUUAAGAGGAUCGCGGAAUUCCCGGUGUAGAGGUGAAAUUCGUAGAUAUCGGGAGGAACACCAGUGGCGAAGGCGACUACCUGGCCUGUUCUUGACGCUGAGGCGCGAAAGCUAGGGAGCAAACGGG
rnacentral:rRNA from 1 species